GGAGGAAUAUUGGGCAAUGGACGAAAGUCUGACCCAGCAACGCCGCGUGAAGGAUGAAGGCCUUCGGGUCGUAAACUUCUUUUGAGGGAGACGAGAAAGGACGGUAUCCCUCGAAUAAGCCACGGCUAACUACGUGCCAGCAGCCGCGGUAAAACGUAGGUGGCGAGCGUUAUCCGGAUUCAUUGGGCGUAAAGAGCUUGUAGGUGGUGCGAUAAGUUGGACGUGAAAAACUCCGGGCUUAACUUGGAGAGGCCGUUCAAUACUGUUGUGCUAGAGGGCGUCAGAGGGAAGUGGAAUUCCUGGUGUAGCAGUGAAAUGCGUAGAUAUCAGGAGGAACAUCCGUGGCGAAGGCGGCUUCCUGGGGCGCACCUGACACUGAGAAGCGAAAGCUAGGGGAGCAAAACGGGAUUAGAAACCCCGGUAGUCCUAGCUGUAAAACGAUGGAUGCUAGGUGUGAGUGGAUCUAACCCCGCUCGUGCCGAAGCUAACGCGUUAAGCAUCCCGCCUGGGAACUACGAGCGCAAGCUUAAAAACUCAAA
rnacentral:rRNA from 1 species